UCUGUCGCUCCUCGACACUAGACCUGCCUACUGCCUGCCUACCGCUGCGUGCUCCUGCUGGGCGAAAACUAGAGCAGAUAGAGGGAGAAAAGACGCAGAGUUGGAGGGGGAAAAAGAGAGAGACACAGAGAGAAGAGAGACAACAACGAGAGAGAGAGAGAGGAGAGGAGAGGAGAAAGAGAACAGAGAGAGAGAGAGAGAAGCCGGGGGUGGACCGUUAAUUUCAUCCACACACCGUCUUGAAUGCGUGGCGGAGAGUAGACUGAGCUAAUAUACUGCUGCUGUACAACAUCACCUCGCCGAGGACCGGGGGACACACGAGAGAAGCCGAGAGCGUCCAUAUAUCUAUAUAUAAAGCUUUAUCGAUACAUGUAUAAUAUGGAUCAAUAUGAUGGAGAAGAAAAUUAUAUGCAACCAGAAGAUGACUGGGAUCGGGAUCUCCUCUUGGAUCCUGCAUGGGAGAAGCAACAGAGAAAGACAUUUACAGCUUGGUGUAACUCUCACCUGAGGAAAGCAGGCACGCAGAUCGAGAACAUCGAGGAGGACUUCCGGGAUGGACUGAAACUCAUGUUGCUGCUGGAGGUCAUCUCAGGCGAACGCUUGGCCAAACCAGAAAGAGGCAAGAUGAGAGUCCACAAGAUCUCCAACGUUAACAAAGCGCUUGACUUCAUCGCCAGCAAAGGAGUGAAACUGGUGUCUAUUGGAGCAGAGGAGAUCGUAGAUGGCAACGCUAAGAUGACCCUGGGAAUGAUCUGGACCAUAAUCCUCCGCUUCGCCAUCCAAGACAUUUCUGUGGAAGAGACUUCUGCCAAAGAGGGCCUCCUGUUGUGGUGCCAGAGGAAGACUGCGCCCUACAAGAAUGUCAACAUCCAAAACUUUCACAUCAGCUGGAAAGAUGGUUUGGGUUUCUGUGCACUCAUUCAUCGACACCGUCCAGAGCUCAUUGACUAUGGAAAACUGCGCAAGGACGAUCCCAUGACCAACCUGAACACAGCCUUCGAUGUGGCAGAAAAGUACCUGGACAUCCCCAAGAUGUUGGACGCAGAAGACAUUGUGGGCACUGCCCGUCCGGAUGAGAAGGCGAUCAUGACCUACGUCUCUAGCUUCUACCAUGCCUUCUCGGGCGCCCAGAAGGCAGAGACGGCGGCCAACAGGAUCUGCAAGGUGCUGGCUGUCAACCAAGAGAAUGAGCAGCUGAUGGAGGACUAUGAGAAGCUGGCCAGUGAUCUGUUGGAGUGGAUCCGCCGCACCAUCCCCUGGCUGGAGAACCGCAUGCCCGAGAACACCAUGCAGGCCAUGCAGCAGAAGCUGGAGGACUUCAGAGAUUACCGCCGCCUCCACAAGCCGCCCAAAGUGCAAGAGAAGUGCCAGCUGGAGAUCAACUUCAACACUCUGCAGACCAAGCUGAGGCUCAGCAACAGGCCCGCCUUCAUGCCCUCAGAGGGAAAGAUGGUCUCGGACAUUAACAAUGCGUGGGGAAAUCUAGAGGGAGCAGAGAAAGGAUAUGAAGAGUGGCUCCUCAAUGAGAUCCGCAGGCUGGAAAGACUUGAUCACCUCGCGGAGAAAUUUCGCCAGAAAGCAGCCAUCCAUGAAGCUUGGACUGAAGGUAAGGAGGACAUGCUGCAGAAGCGUGACUACGAGACGGCCUCUCUGUCAGAGAUCAAGGCCCUGCUGAAGAAACACGAGGCCUUUGAGAGCGAUCUGGCUGCACAUCAGGACCGUGUGGAGCAGAUCGCAGCCAUCGCACAGGAGUUAAAUGAGCUGGACUACUAUGACUCCCCCAGUGUAAACGCUCGCUGCCAGCGGAUUUGUGACCAGUGGGACGCACUGGGAGCUCUGACCCAGAAACGCAGCGAGGCUUUGCAGAGAACUGAGAAGCUGCUUGAAACCAUUGACCAACUGUACCUUGAGUUUGCCAAAAGAGCGGCUCCAUUCAACAACUGGAUGGAGGGCGCCAUGGAGGACCUGCAGGAUACCUUUAUCGUCCACACCAUCGAAGAAAUCCAGGGAUUAAGCACAGCCCACGAGCAGUUCAAAGCCACGCUGCCGGAGGCCGACAAGGAGCGCCAGGCCAUCCUGGGCAUCCACAAUGAGAUUGCCAAGAUUGUGCAGACCUAUCAUGUGAAUAUGGCUGGCACCAACCCCUACACCACCAUCAACCCACAGGAGAUUAAUGCCAAAUGGGACAAGGUCAGGCAGCUGGUGCCUCAGCGCGACCAGGCUCUGAUUGAGGAACACGCCCGGCAGCAGAACAACGAGCGUCUGCGCCGACAGUUUGCCAACCAGGCCAAUGUCAUCGGACCCUGGAUCCAGACCAAGAUGGAGGAAAUCGGGCGCAUCUCAAUUGAGAUGCAUGGCACCCUGGAGGACCAGCUAACACACCUACGCCAGUACGAGAAGAGCAUUGUCAACUACAAACCAAAGAUCGACCAGCUGGAAGGAGACCACCAGCUCAUUCAGGAAGCUCUCAUCUUUGACAACAAGCACACCAACUACACCAUGGAGCACAUCCGCGUGGGCUGGGAGCAGCUACUCACCACCAUCGCCCGCACCAUCAAUGAAAUUGAGAACCAGAUCUUGACGCGAGACGCCAAGGGCAUCAGCCAGGAGCAGCUGAAUGAGUUCCGGGCUUCCUUCAACCACUUCGACAGGACUGCAUCAACAAAGCAAAGAAGUUAAGGUGAGAAUAUAUUAUUUCUGGGUUUGAGACAUCAUGUCAUGCUGCCCGAGGUGUGGCUAAGGACAAUCCUUUAACCAGAAAAUGUGUGAGUGUACAGUUUGUGUGUGAAAUGCAUCAGGUUGUCUAUUGACCUUCCUGCUUUGGUUGCAAAGGGACUUACAGUUCAGUGACCCAACAUUCAUCUUUAAAAGCUCAGGGGCUUUCAGGCAUAUCAAGAAAAUGGCAGCCAGAAUCAGCUAAAUCAAUUUAUUGUGCAACAGCAGAGCAGGUAGAAUGGAAAUUGGGGCUCUUGUUUAUACCACAGGUAGCCACAAAAUAUCUUUCCAUGGAAGGCUGUCUCUAUAAAACCUGCUUUGUUAGCCCCCCUCCUACGUCCAGAACUUAGUGUUUACACUAGGGCUCAAUGUGUCAGGAACAGCACCAAUUAUGGAUGAGUUUUUAUUUAGCUCCCUCUGCUCCCCCUUCUCCUCCUUCUCCUCACCCCAGCUCUCCUGCUGACUCCACCAUUACCUCAUGCAUUUUUCCAGAGCUGCUCCAUUGUUAAUCAAUACCUGAGGUUGACGAUUGGAGCCCGCAGGAAGCCAACUCUGAACCUGAACUUGUUUCAUAUUUCAUUAGGACUAAGUCUGCCCCUUCAAGGCUUUCAGUGUGAAGUUUGUUAGGAGAUGUGAGAGAAAAGCGUAUCAACCUAUAGCACCAGAUUAAUCUAAAGCUUUAGACCAAAGGAUUCAUUUCUCUUUAGUUUGAUGGUUUAUAGUCUAUGCCAGUGUUGAUACAACUAGUUCAUUAAGCAGUUAGUCCAUCAAUACAAAAUAAAUGUACAAUUUUGAGCUUGAUAAACUAACUUAUCAAGAAAAUAUCAAACAUUUGCUGAUUUUAGCUUUUCAGAUGUUAGGAUUUACUGAUUGUCUGCGUAUUAUAUUAGUGCAAAUUGAAUAUCUUUGGGUUUUGAUUUGUUAGUCUAAACAAAACUAAUUUUCAGCUAACAUGUCACUUUGGCUUAUUGGGAAUUGGGACGUUUUUAAUUAUAUUCUCACAUUUUAUAGACUAACCAAUUCAUUGAAAAUAGAGCAAAAAUAAUAAUUGGUAGAGCUGAGAAGAUGAGUUGCUAAAUUGAUUAUUAGUCGAUCAUUAGUAAAUUAACUCCCAGCUAUUCUGAUAAUCCAAUAGUCAUUUAAGAAUUGUUGCAAAAAUGGUCAAAAGUCUUCUUCUGUGGUAUUAAACUGUAAGAUCAGACAAAAUUAGACAUUUUAAGACAUCACUUUAGGUUCUGGGAAUGUCUAAUGGGCUUUUUGCUGUUUGCUGACAUCUAAAUUGAGAAAUGCAGUAGAUAUGGGUAUAUGGGGAAAUUAAUGUGGUUGUAAAUGUUGGGAGUGUUUAAUGAAGAAUUUUGCUUUGAUGCUGUACAAAAAGGUAAAGAGAUUCUUUUGCAUCUAAGAAGAAGCAUAUUUUGUGAUGUUAAGUACAUGUGCCAUCAGUGAUAUGAAUAACCUCACCAUAGGGCCCCCGUAGUCUGCCUGCCACACUGCACAUUAACGCCUCUGAAUGCCCUCGCCAGCAUGGCAGCACUGCUGCCACCGUGUGUUCACCUGCCAGAUCCUAAUGAAUAUGCACUGUGUUCUCUGUUUUCUAUCUCGUGCAUGGCCCUCUCCCUUCACCCCCCUCACCUCCUUUCCCCCACCCCGUGCAUGGUGCACUCCCUCCACCUCCCUCCAACAUCACCUCACCCCCCUCCUGUCCCACCUCAUCCACCCCUUCACCGUCACUGACACCGCUGUAUGUGUUGCUGCAUGGCCUGUGGCCCCCGACGCCUCGCCUGGCACUGGCCUCCCACACCCCAGGACCACUCGGGCACUCUGGGCGCGGAGGAGUUCAAGGCCUGCCUGAUCAGCCUGGGCUUCGAUAUCGCCAACGAUGCACAGAAGAGAUCAGGAAUCAUGGAUGCUGAAGACUUCAAAACCUGCCUUAUCUCCAUUGGUUACAACCUG